CGUCAUAAUGGCGGAUAUUUUGCUGAUUUUGUAGGCUGUAUCUUUGUGCUUCAUUCUUGUGGAUGAAAGGCUAUAACAUUUUCUCGAUGCGUUUAGACCUCGAAGCAAUAACUAAAGAAGGUGUAGUUCCACUACUUCUUCAUCAAUUAAGUCUUCAUGUUACGUCAUCCUCUUCAAAAUCAUCAUCUACGAUGUCUGAAUCACUGAGGUGUGCUUAUGAUAUUUUUACAGUUUUUUCACAGUCUGGUAAUGCUCCCACAUAAAGGUGUUGGAAUUGGAAUCGCAUUAUAUUUGCAUCUCAGAUCUGCCAUCAACAAUUAAUAGUUUCUCCAUGUCUCUGUUGUAUUUUGAAUUAUUGGUACAUUGAUGUAUGCAGUAUAGAGAUAUUGUGACCUUUAUUUCCCCAGUUUGGUACUACCUGUUCAUUCCUCA